CACGUAGGGGACGAGCGUUGUCCGGAUUCAUUGGGCGUAAAGCGCGCGUAGGCGGCUCGGCAAGUCGGUCGUGAAAUGCCGGGGCUCAACCCCGGGACUGCGUCCGAUACUUCCGGGCUGGAGGUAGGUAGGGGAGAUCGGAAUUCCUGGUGUAGCGGUGAAAUGCGCAGAUAUCAGGAGGAACACCGGUGGCGAAGGCGGAUCUCUGGGCAUUAACUGACGCUGAGGAGCGAAAGCAUGGGGAGCGAACAGG
rnacentral:rRNA from 1 species